CAGUAUUUUGCUCGAGUGAGGCACCAAUUGUUUUUUAAAUCUUCUUUGUGCCCGUCGUCAUACUCAGUGGCGCCAUCGUCAGUACAAAUCCGACCUAUUUGGAUUCUGCUCGGAUGAGGUUUCUGGAGACGAGGAACCAUCACAGCCCAAAAAGAAAAGUC